CCUGGAUAGGUGCGCGCUCACGGCUCACUCAAAUAGAUCCCGCCACAGAUCACAGAUUUACUGAUUUACCAUGGCAACUAGAGCCGCGUACUUUUCCCCGUCGGAAGCACAAAUCCUCAUGGAGGCAUACGAGGAGGUAAAAGAUAUAAUUAAGAAGAAAGGCAACACCGCCACAGUGAUAAAGCAAAGAGAAAAAGCGUGGCAAAGUAUUGCAGACCGCCUGAAUGCAUUAAACAUGAACGGGCCAAAACGGACAUGGCAGCAGGUCAAAAUCAAAUACAAGAACAUUCUGCAGAAUGCAGUGAAAAAGAAUACCCACAGACAAGGCACAGGUGGUGGGUC